GACGAACGCUGGCGGCGUGCUUAACACAUGCAAGUCGAACGGAAAGGCCCUGCUUUUGUGGGGUGCUCGAGUGGCGAACGGGUGAGUAACACGUGAGUAACCUGCCCUUGACUUUGGGAUAACUUCAGGAAACUGGGGCUAAUACCGGAUAGGAGCUCCUGCUGCAUGGUGGGGGUUGGAAAGUUUCGGCGGUUGGGGAUGGACUCGCGGCUUAUCAGCUUGUUGGUGGGGUAGUGGCUCACCAAGGCUUUGACGGGUAGCCGGCCUGAGAGGGUGACCGGCCACAUUGGGACUGAGAUACGGCCCAGACUCCUACGGGAGGCAGCAGUGGGGAAUAUUGCACAAUGGGCGGAAGCCUGAUGCAGCAACGCCGCGUGCGGGAUGACGGCCUUCGGGUUGUAAACCGCCUUCGCCUGUGACGAAGCGUGAGUGACGGUAAUGGGUAAAGAAGCACCGGCUAACUACGUG
rnacentral:rRNA from 1 species